ACACGGCAGGCUGGCGGCGGGGAGGCUGGUACUCACCUUGCGGCGCCGCACUCUUGGCCGCCUUUGUAUGCAAACACCCAGCCCGCCUCGCGCUCCCGGUCUGCGCGGCCCGGCCCCCGGGGGCGGGGCGAGCGGGGCGGCGCAAGGGGCCUCACGAGACUCGAGCCACUCGGCUGCUUUCAGGGCCCGCCCGGCCCCAGGCGACAGAGCCUCCCUCGCAGGAAGUGCCGGGGCAGCCCGCCCCCUCCCUCCUCGCCUACCUUAGUGCUCUUUACUGAGAUGCAGAAGGAAGACGGAAGAUGCGGGCUCGGAAGGAAAUGCGAGCGCACUUCUGGCCACUCUAAGACUGGGAUUUUUUCCAGCCAACCCAGACAUGUCGGGAAGGGGAAGGAUUCUGGUGCUCGUUGAAGAAGCCGGCUGGCUCUAGGUAGAAGUUUAGGGUCAUCUGCUAUCUUUCUCUGCUAUCCCCAUUAUUUCCACUGCAUCUAAACAAGUCCAGACUCUGCAGGGAGAAUUUGUUUCCAACAAGCAAUGAGGAGAAGACACUAGAUCACGUUUCAGUAUAAACUGAGCUGGAUUCACGAAAGCCCUCUGCCCUGCUGAUCCUGCCCUGGCUGGAGUCCCCCUGGGAGGGCCCUUGCUGUGCGGUCUGCAACCAAGCAGUCACCCAGCUGUGACUCAGCCAGGACAGCUGAGGUGAUCCCCUGGGCCAAUCCCUGGACCUGCCGCUUUCAGCCCAACUCGGAAGAGGAGAAGGAAACCACCGGGAUGCGUAAACUUGCUCCAGCCUCUGGAGGGAGGAGUGAUGCCAGGGCAAAGCGAUGCAAGCACCCUCGAUCCUAAAAAGACUCAGACUCGGUUUCACUAUCUGGAAAAUCGGAGGCAGGUCCACUUUGAGGAUGGAAAUGGCCAUCACGUGAAAUACAUGGCCUUUGCUAACUUGAAAGAUUUUGAAGUUCUAGAACCGUAUACAUUAAGGAGUGGUGGUUCCCAGGAUCUGUUCAGUGCUUAGCCCAGCUGUGAUACAGAGACUGCCCGGCUUGCCCAGCCUCAAGACCCGGCAGGCUGCUGACUUUCCUCCUAGGAGGGACACCUAGAGAAGGCUGAUGAUGUGUAAGGCUAAACAAUUACAACUCCUCGAUUGUCAGAACUCUUCUCUACAUAGAAAAGCGACGAGAAUGAUCUAAGCCGCCCUAUUCCAGCUGGAAAUCUCCAUCCUUCUAUCCAGUGACAAUAACAAUCCUGGGAAUUCUGAAGUUUUCCAGAUUAACUACCUACACAAUUGAAAGGGCUCUGCAAGGGGGAGGGGAGACAGGAGAGUGACGGCUCGCCCCUCUUCACCUGAGUCUCAUGAAACAAUACAGCCAGGCCUGCAGAACCCAGGUCUCUAUGAAGCAGCCCUCACACCUCGGAAGGUCACGCCACGCUCACAAAACCACAUUCGGUGCCACCUUCAUACUUGAGCUCCGUAAGGAUGGUGCACGCCUCUCUGGAAGGAACGACCCACAACCUGAAAGGUGACAUGGGUUCAAGCCCUGGUCCGGGAAGAUCCCACAUGCCGCAGAACAACUAACCCCGUGCACCACAACUACUGAGCCUGCACUCUAAAGCCUGCAAGCCACAACUACUGAGCCCACGUGCCACAACUACUGAGCCCACUCACCGCAACUACUGAAGCCCGCGAGCUUAGAGCCCGUGCUCCACAACAAGAGAAGCCCCUGCUCACCGCAGCUAGAGAAAGCCCACGCACAGCAAUGAAGACCCAACGCAGCAAAAAAAAAAAAAUUUUUUUUUAAUUUUGGUAAAAAGCUUUAAAAAAAUAAAUUUGACCUGGGUCUUGGCCACACUCUGUGAUUUUUUUUCCUCCCCAAACAGUAAGGACAUUGGCCCAGUAAUAAAAUCCCACAGAACUUUCUGGAAUCUGAGGUUUCCUGGGCAGGGUGUGGUUCUGGGGAACUGGAGACCUGGGUUCUGGUCUGUGUUCUGCCACUUAUAAGACCCUAAAGAUGUCGCCUCAGUCUCCACAUCAGAAAGAGAGGAAGUGAUAAUAGAGGACCGUCAGCUCUGGCCUGUCAUCUACACAUCUGUGCUGUGACUUCCUAGGUACAGACAGUCCUGCAUCGUCACCCCUGCCCAAGCCCCCAAACACACAUGCAGUGUGAUGAUACCUGUCAGUCCUGGGCCCUUGACACCCCAGGGCAUCUCCAUUCAUUUCAGAGGACAUUGAGGUAGUUUCAGAAGAAGAAAUUAAUGUGAUUCCACUUUAACUUUAAACUAUAACACCCGCACCCAAUAUUCUCCUCUCCUGUCUCCCUCCCCGGGGGAUGUGUAAGUGAAGGUUUGGGCAUCACUAACCUAAUUACAGGAAAUUCUGAGCAGAGUGGGGCACACUCAAGACAAAGAAUCAGUUGAGGGUUUCUUGAAUUUCCAGUGGGAGGCAGGGACUGGGGGCUGGCAGACAAAGAUUUAUCCCGGUCCCAACACUGCUCAGUUUCAGUUCUCUUCUGUCACUCUGUGCUCCGUAGCGUCGAACCCACCGCGGUACGACUGGCUCCACUGAUGCUCAGCUCAGCUGCAGUGUCCUCAGGAGACUCACAGACAGAUGGAUCAGCUAGAGAGCAUCUGAAUGGGAAACGGUUCUCUGACACACACACGUGCCCGCUUUUCCAGCAUCAAACGUCUGACUGCGUGUCUGCUGUCCCGGCUGCUCUGGCUCCACUAUUUCUCCACACAGUCUAAGCUCCAGCUGCGCUGGACCAUUUUCCUGUCUUUGUGCUUGUCCUGUUGCCUUCUACCACCAGGCCUUUGUACCCGCUGUUCCCCCUGCAUGGAAUCCUCUCCUCUCUUCACCUGGUUAACCACUGCUCAUUCUUCAACCUUAGUUCAAGCAUCACUAACGUCCCCAUCUAUGUCAGUUCUCCCUGUUAGACACUCACACUGCUCUGCAUAUCUUCCAUUCAAUGUACUGAGCAUAGUUUAAAUGCUCCAUCUGUGUGUGCAAUUAUUGUAAAAUCUCUCCCCAGCAGACAGACUCUGCAGGAAGGAAAAGACCAUUUCUGUCUGAAUACCUAGCA